CGGGGUAUAACUCAAGCAGUAGAGUAUAUGCUUAGCAUGCACAAGGUCCUGGGUUCAAUCCUCAGUACCUCCU
rnacentral:tRNA from 1 species